GACAACGCUGGCGGCGUGCCUAACACAUGCAAGUCGAACGGACGUACUUGAGUAGCAAUACGAAAGUGCGUUAGUGGCGAACGGGUGAGUAAUGCGUGAGCAACCUGCCUUUCAGAGGGGGACAACAGUUGGAAACGACUGCUAAUACCGCAUAAUGUGCGCGGAUGGCAUCAUCUGCGUACCAAAGCAGCAAUGCGCUGAAAGAUGGGCUCACGUCUGAUUAGUUAGUUGGUGAGGUAACGGCUCACCAAGACUGCGAUCAGUAGCCGGUCUGAGAGGAUGAACGGCCACAUUGGGACUGAGAUACGGCCCAGACUCCUACGGGAGGCAGCAGUGGGGAAUAUUGGGCAAUGGGCGAAAGCCUGACCCAGCAACGCCGCGUGAAGGAAGAAGGCUUUCGGGUUGUAAACUUCUUUUAUGUGGGACGAAAAAAAUGACGGUACCAUAUGAAUAAGCUCCGGCUAACUACGUG
rnacentral:rRNA from 1 species